UCGAGAAUUUUUCACAAUGGGGGAAACCCUGAUGGAGCGACGCCGCGUGGGGGAUGAAUGGCUUCGGCCCGUAAACCCCUGUCAUUUGCGAGCAAAGCGCAUUAUUUAAAAGAUGAUGUGUUGAUAGUAGCGGAAGAGGAAGGGACGGCUAACUCUGUGCCAGCAGCCGCGGUAAUACAGAGGUCCCGAGCGUUGUUCGGAUUCACUGGGCGUAAAGGGUGCGUAGGUGGUGAGGUGUGUCGGAUGUGAAAUCUCGGAGCUCAACUCCGAAACUGCAUUGGAAACUACCUUGCUGGAGGGUUGGAGGGGGGACUGGAAUACUUGGUGUAGCAGUGAAAUGCGUAGAUAUCAAGUGGAACACCAGUGGCGGAGGCGAGUCCCUGGACAACUCCUGACACUGAGGCACGAAAGCUAGGGGAGCA
rnacentral:rRNA from 1 species